UGAUGAGUCCCAAAUAGGACGAAACGCGCGUC
rfam:Schistosoma rodhaini strain Burundi genome assembly, scaffold: SROB_scaffold0003529